rnacentral:rRNA from 1 species
GACGAACCGAGCGAACGUUAUUCGGAAUCACUGGGCUUAAAGGGUGCGUAGGCGGGUCUUUAAGUCAGGGGUGAAAUCCUGGAGCUCAACUCCAGAACUGCCUUUGAUACUGAGGAUCUUGAGUUCGGGAGAGGUGAGUGGAACUGCGAGUGUAGAGGUGAAAUUCGUAGAUAUUCGCAAGAACACCAGUGGCGAAGGCGGCUCACUGGCCCGAUACUGACGCUGAGGCACGAAAGCGUGGGGAGCGAACAGG